UGUGAUGGGGAGCGAAAUUUAGUAGCGAAGUAGCUGAUUUCACACUGUCAAGAAAAGUCUCUAUCGAGGUUAAAGGUACCCGUACCGCAAACCGACACAGGUGGGUGAGGAGAGUAUCCUAAGGCCAGCGAGAGAACUGUUGUUAAGGAACUCGGCAAAAUGACCCCGUAACUUAGGGAUAAGGGGUGCCACCAUCAGGUGGCCGCAGAGAAUAGGCCCAAGCGACUGUUUACCAAAAACAUAGGUUUCUGCUAAGUCGCAAGACGAUGUAUAGGAGCUGACGCCUGCCCGGUGCUGGAAGGUUAAGGGGAUCUGUUAGAGCAAUCGAAGCAGUGAACUUAAGCCCCAGUAAACGGCGGCCGUAACUAUAACGGUCCUAAGGUAGCGAAAUUCCUUGUCGGGUAAGUUCCGACCCGCACGAAAGGCGUAACGAUUUGGGCACUGUCUCAACAACAGACUCGGUGAAAUUGUAAUUCCGGUGAAGAUGCCGGAUACCUGCGACAGGACGGAAAGACCCCAUGGAGCUUUACUGUAGCUUGACAUUGGGUCUUGGUACUACAUGUACAGGAUAGGUGGGAGGCUUUGAAACCAGGACGCCAGUUUUGGCGGAGCCAUCCUUGGGAUACCACCCUUGUAGUACUGGGACUCUAACCAUAGGCCAUGAAUCUGGUCUUGGGACACUGUCAGGUGGGCAGUUUGACUGGGGCGG
rnacentral:rRNA from 1 species